GUCUGUGAUGCCCUUAGAUGUUAUGGGCCGCACGCGCGCUACACUGACAGAGCCAGCGAGUUCUCUCCUCCACCGGAAGGUGUGGGUAAUCUUGUGAAACUCUGUCGUGAUGGGGAUAGAACAUUGCAAUUAUUGUUCUUCAACGAGGAAUACCUAGUAAGCGUGAUUCAUCAGAUCGCGUUGAUUACGUCCCUGCCCUUUGUA
rnacentral:rRNA from 1 species